AGUGAACGCUGGCGGUAGGCCUAACACAUGCAAGUCGAACGGCAGCACAGUAAGAGCUUGCUCUUACGGGUGGCGAGUGGCGGACGGGUGAGGAAUACAUCGGAAUCUACUUUUUCGUGGGGGAUAACGUAGGGAAACUUACGCUAAUACCGCAUACGACCUACGGGUGAAAGCAGGGGAUCUUCGGACCUUUCGCGAUUGAAUGAGCCGAUGUCGGAUUAGCUAGUUGGCGGGGUAAAGGCCCACCAAGGCGACGAUCCGUAGCUGGUCUGAGAGGAUGAUCAGCCACACUGGAACUGAGACACGGUCCAGACUCCUACGGGAGGCAGCAGUGGGGAAUAUUGGGCAAUGGGCGCAAGCCUGAUCCAGCCAUACCGCGUGGGUGAAGAAGGCCUUCGGGUUGUAAAGCCCUUUUGUUGGGAAAGAAAAGCAGCAGGUUAAUACCCCGCUGUUCUGACGGUACCCAAAGAAUAAGCACCGGCUAACUUCGUG
rnacentral:rRNA from 1 species